CCCUCUAAGAUACCACCCCUUGCAUUUCGAGCACCUUCUGUUUCCUCGGCGGGCUCGCCCGCCAAUGGGGACCAAACCAAACCCUCCUGUAGUUGCAGUAAACGUCUACAAAACAAAAAUCAAAACUUUCAACAACGGAUCUCUUGGUUCUGGCAUCGAUGAAGAACGCAGCGAAAUGCGAUAAGUAGUGUGAAUUGCAGAAUUCAGUGAAUCAUCGAAUCUUUGAACGCACAUUGCGCCCUUUGGCAUUCCUUAGGGCAUGCCUGUUCGAGCGUCAUCUAAAAACCCUCAAGCACUGCUUGGUGUUGGGCGCCUUGUCCCGCCCCCGGGCGCGGACUCGCCUCAAAAGCAUUGGCGGCCUGUGUAUUGGCUUCGAGCGCAGCAGAAACGCGCCUCGCAGACCUCUGGCGCGGGCGUCCAUCAAGACGCAACCACAAGUUUGACCUCGGAUCAGGUAGGGAUACCCGCUGAACUUAAGCAUAUCAAUAA
rnacentral:rRNA from 1 species